rnacentral:rRNA from 1 species
CCUACGGGUGGCUGCAGUCGAGAAUCAUUCACAAUGGGGGAAACCCUGAUGGUGCGACGCCGCGUGGAGGAAUGAAGGUCUUCGGAUUGUAAACCCCUGUCAUGUGGGAGCAGAUUAAAAAGAUAAUACCCCAAGAGGAAGAGGCGACUAACUCUGUGCAAGCAGCCGCGGUAAUACAGAGGUCUCAAGCGUUGUUCGGAGUCACUGGGCGUAAAGCGUGCGUAGGCUGUUUCGUAAGUCGCGUGUGAAAGGCGCGGGCUCAACCAGCGGACGGCAGAUGAUACUGCGAGACUAGAGUAAUGGAGGGGGAACCAGAAUUCUCGGUGUAGCAGUGAAAUGCGUAGAGAUCGAGAGGAACACUCGUGGCGAAGGCGGGUUCCUGGACAUGAACUGACGCUGAGGCACGAAGGCCAGGGGAGCGAAAGGGAUUAGAUACCCGAGUAGUC